rnacentral:rRNA from 1 species
UACGUAGGGGGCAAGCGUUAUCCGGAUUUACUGGGUGUAAAGGGAGCGUAGACGGCCUUGCAAGUCUGGUGUGAAAGCCCGGGGCUCAACCCCGGGACUGCAUUGGAAACUGCAUGGCUGGAGUGCAGGAGAGGUAAGCGGAGUUCCUAGUGUAGCGGUGAAAUGCGUAGAUAUUAGGAGGAACACCAGUGGCGAAGGCGGCUUACUGGACUGUAACUGACGUUGAGGCUCGAAAGCGUGGGGAGCAAACAGG